rnacentral:rRNA from 1 species
GACGAACGCUGGCGGCGUGCCUAAUACAUGCAAGUCGAACGCAUUUUCUUUCACCGUAGCUUGCUACACCGAAAGAAAAUGAGUGGCGAACGGGUGAGUAACACGUGGGUAACCUGCCCAUCAGCGGGGGAUAACACUUGGAAACAGGUGCUAAUACCGCAUAAUUCCAUUUACCGCAUGGUAGAUGGAUGAAAGGCGCUUUUGCGUCACUGAUGGAUGGACCCGCGGUGCAUUAGCUAGUUUGUGGGGUAACGGCCUACCAAGGCUGCGAUGCAUAGCCGACCUGAGAGGGUGAUCGGCCACACUGGGACUGAGACACGGCCCAGACUCCUACGGGAGGCAGCAGUAGGGAAUCUUCGGCAAUGGACACAAGUCUGACCGAGCAACGCCGCGUGAGUGAAGAAGGUUUUCGGAUCGUAAAACUCUGUUGUUAGAGAAGAACAAGGAUGAGAGUGGAAAGUUCAUCCCUUGACGGUAUCUAACCAGAAAGCCACGGCUAACUACGUG